GUAAAGCAAAAAAUGCUUCAGAACUGAACUGAAAUAACACAGAGACAUUAUUUUUUCCCAGACUCUCCUCUGAACCACAACCAAUAGAGGGAAGGUAGGAGGGACAUAGAGAAGGCAGGCUCGCUUUAUUAGAGGUAACACUCCUUUACUUCUUUAUUUGCAGACAUCCCAUCUUAGCAGCACUGGGUGAACUAGAAGCAAACCACAGAGACACCGCACCAAGGAUAAACAUCAAUGUGGAGCAUCAAAAACUUUUAACUGGGAAACUAAAAUAAUCAGGUGAUAGAAGGACAGGAUGAAGGUUUUGAUACUACGAGGACUCAUUUUGGCAUUUGCUGUUUGCUUCCAGGUAAGCUCCCAGACUCUGGAAAAACCACAAGAACUGCCCAAAAAUAAAGGCUAUGUAAAG